rnacentral:rRNA from 1 species
AUACGGAAGGUCCGGGCGUUAUCCGGAUUUAUUGGGUUUAAAGGGAGCGCAGGCGGAGAUGCAAGCGUGACGUCAAAUUUCGGGGCUCAACCCCGUCUCGCGUCGCGAACUGCGUCCCUUGGUUGCGGGAAGGGGAGGCGGAACUCGUGGUGUAGCGGGGAAAUGCAUAGAUAUCACGAAGAACUCCGAUCGCGAAGGCAGCCUUCCGGCCCGUCAACGACGCUCAUGCUCGAAGGUGCGGGUAUCAAACAGGAUUAGAUACCCUGGUAGUCCGCACAGUAAACGAUGGACACCCGCGGUUUGGCCUGUAUGGCUGAGCCGCCAAGCGAAAGCGCUAAGUGUCCCACCUGGGGAGUACGCCGGCAACGGUGAAACUCAAAUGAAUUGACGGGG